rnacentral:rRNA from 1 species
GAACCGUACAAACGUUAUUCGGGAAUCACUGGGCUUAAAGGGUGCGUAGGCGGCGGCGCAAGUUGGGGUGUGAAAUCCCUCGGGCUCAACCGAGGAAUGGCGCCCAAAACUGCGUGGCUCGAGGGAGACAGAGGUGAGCGGAACUUGCGGUGGAGCGGUGAAAUGCGUUGAUAUCGCAAGGAACACCAGUGGCGAAGGCGGCUCACUGGGUCUCUUCUGACGCUGAGGCACGAAAGCUAGGGGAGCGAACGGGAUUAGAUACCCCGGUAGUCCUAGCUGUAAACGAUGAGCACUGGGUCGGAGGAUCCUCCAUAGUUUUCCGGCCGUAGCGAAAGUGUUAAGUGCUCCGCCUGGGGAGUAUGGUCGCAAGGCUG